rnacentral:misc_RNA from 1 species
GACUGUGAGCAGGAGACAUGCGCAGUGAGUUCCUCUCAGAAUGCUUCUUGUAGCUGUAGCAGGACUUCCAGUGAGAGUUGUUAGCUACUAGCUCUCACUGUGUUCUAUGUAGUCAAUCGAUGUGUGAUACCAUACUCCGCUCUCAACGUUUUCCAAGCUGCUGGCGUUUGGAAUACCACGAGGCACGAUAAUCGUGUUACCGCCAACUUUUAUCCUUACGUUCCGACAUAAUUGGCCGUUAAUUUUUGGAUCAGGACAAAUCGUAAAGCUAUGGAGUCAGUGAAUGAAGAAGGGUAUGCCAGUGCGACAUUACAAGCACCGUUGUAGCAGAUAUGGUUCCGUGUUGUUUUCUGGGAUACUGUUAUAAGAAGCAAGAAAGUUACCACGGUGACACCUGCACCAGCCCAGUAUGGAGGAUGGGAGUGCUCAGGCCCUCGAAGUCAUCAUUAGUCAGAGCGAUCAGUUUGGCUUCUUCCAGAAACGUACCUUCAUCGCCACAAGUUUCCUACAAGCAAUAACAAUCUCCGUUCUUGUGUACACGUGUGUGGCCACCCCGGAACCCUCCACCGAUGACCCGUGUACAGUGGCCAGUACUAAUGGGGCGGAGCCGCUCAAUGAGACAUUUACAUCCUUCAAUCAAACAGUUUCUGUGGCAUCCACAAACAUUGCUCACACAAGCAAGGCAUGUUCCUCCACGGAUACCGGCAGCUUUAUAUUCAUCCUGACCCUUCAUGUGCCAAAGUGGUUGCGUCCCCUGGACGGCUUGACCUUGUCUGAGUACACCGUAUUCGGCCAAGUAUCGGGUGUAAUCCUAGGAUCUCUGAUUGGAGCGUUCUUUGGCGAUGUGUACGGCCGGAGAAAACCUAUGUUCGUGUGCUUUAUAUUGAUGCUCGUCUUCCAUAUUCUGACGGGAGUAGCUGUCUCCUGGCCGGUCUUCGUUGUCUUCCGUAUCAUUGUGGGCCUGGCAGCAGGAGCAUUCCUCGUAGUGAGCGUGGUGAUGCCGAUGGAGUGUAUUGGGCAGGACUGGCGGGACGUGUGUAUCUGUUCAGGGAUGUGGACAAUGGGUGUGGUCUUUCUCUCCCUAGAGACGCUCAUUACGGAGAACUGGCGGUAUCUAGCAUUUCUAUCUGGCGCCAUCGGAACCCCAUUUAUAGGAACAUAUUACCUUGUGCCAGAAAGUGCUAGAUGGUUGCUAUGCCAACAACGCUUCAAAUCAUCAGAAUCGGGAAUUAGGGAAAUGAUAUCUUGUAAUGAGCACGCGGUGCCGGGAGUGACGUCACUUCUGGACAAAGCAAGGGCUUCUGUUGUCGGGCACAUGCAUCACAAGAAAUACACAUACUUAGACUUGUGUCAUUCCGUCGAUCGUAUCAAGUGGACUAUAGCCUUAGUGUACGUAUGCUUGGUCGCUUCGACUGUAUAUUUUUGCCUUGCUGAGAAAACACGGAGAAUAACUGAGAACGCAUAUGUAGAUAGAUUCCUUCCAUACAUCGUCGACCUUCCGCUUACCUGGUCGGCAGUCGUUGUAAAUAAAUGCCUUGGGCGACGCUGGUGUCUGUUUUUAUAUGCUGUGGCGUCCGGAUUCGCGUCUCUAUCCAUCAUCGUCCUUGACAUGACUGGUAAUCUGCAGUCCAUGCCAAAUAUGAUGAAAGGGUUGGCAAUAUUUGGCAAACUCGGGGUGACCGCGACUCUCUCCAUCAUCGCCAUUUCAGCUGUAGAGAUGUUUCCCACUGUUAUACGAUGUAUGGGCACAGCGACUGCUUUGCUAUCUGCAGCGGCCGGUGCAAUUAUGUCGAAACAAUUCAAGUUUUUGCGGGUUUUCCAGGAGGUGCAGGAUGAAAACCACUACACAGUGCCUUUCCUGGUGUAUGGCGGUAUGAUGGUCACAGUCGGCUUCGCUGCCCUCUUCCUGCCAGAGACACUAGGGCGUCCACUUCCAAAUAUCCUGCCCUGUCGUCAUCGAAAGAUUCCAUUACAAGAAGGAACAAGGCUUGUGAAUACGUGGGAUAACUUGUAGCUAUUUGCAAUGGGAGACAUUUGUGGGAAACUGACGAGUAAAGGAUUACUAUUUUUAAAUGUUGAUGUCAUGUUGGAUUACAUUACAUUGCGGUCUGGGGCGGAAUAAGCCAAGUUGAUCCAAGCUGCCACGUUAUCACCUAAGCUCCGUACAACGACGGUUGUACACUUCACAUGUAGGCAUUACUGUCAACAAUGUCAGGAAACACUAGAUAAACUACCAACUGGGUAUUUGGUUACACUAUUGCUAUGGACGAAUAAACAGUUAUAUUUCUUUCUAAAA